rnacentral:rRNA from 1 species
GCUGUUAAGGGUUCGUAGUUGAACUGUGAGCCGCCGAGAGGACAGGUCAGUCCCUCCCAUCAGGGUUGUCUGACUCCUGCACUUGGGGCUCGAGAACGUUCGAAACUACCAUCACGGGGCGUAUCCUCCGAACACGCGCACAAUGUGCGCAGGGGGACGCCUGUGUUCAUUACUGUGCUAAAAAAGGGCGACUAAAGCAGUCCAGCGACAUGAAUUAGAAAGCAUGGGAUAACAAAGGGCAGCCUAUAGGCUAUUCGCUUUUGUUGGUUUUACAGGUCUGUGGGAGAUUAUGGGUGCGCUGACAAGCGGUUCGGGGUUCGUCCCCACGCCUCCGCGGUUGUUCGUCGGCUCCCAGUGGGUCGCGGCGCCGUGGCUUGUGUUCCAGGAAUGAAGGAGGGUUGUUCGGGGGAGAACGUCUUGAGCGUGAGAGGUGAAAUUCUAAGACCGCUCAAAGACGAACUACAGCGAAGGCUUCUCCAAGGAUACCUUCCUCAAUCAAGAACCAAAGUGUGGAGAUCGAAGAUGAUUAGAGCCAUUGUAGUCCGUCCC